rnacentral:rRNA from 1 species
GAUGAACGCUAGCUACAGGCUUAACACAUGCAAGUCGAGGGGCAGCAUGACCUAGCAUUAGGUUGAUGGCGACCGGCGCACGGGUGAGUAACACGUAUCCAACCUGCCGAUUAUUCCGGGAUAGCCUUUCGAAAGAAAGAUUAAUACUGGAUAGCAUAACGAGAAGGCAUCUUCUUGUUAUUAAAGAAUUUCGAUAAUCGAUGGGGAUGCGUUCCAUUAGUUUGUUGGCGGGGUAACGGCCCACCAAGACAUCGAUGGAUAGGGGUUCUGAGAGGAAGGUCCCCCACAUUGGAACUGAGACACGGUCCAAACUCCUACGGGAGGCAGCAGUGAGGAAUAUUGGUCAAUGGACGAGAGUCUGAACCAGCCAAGUAGCGUGAAGGAUGACUGCCCUAUGGGUUGUAAACUUCUUUUAUAUGGGAAUAAAGUGGGCCACGUGUGGCUUUUUGUAUGUACCAUACGAAUAAGGAUCGGCUAACUCCGUG